AGAUAGGGUAGAGGCAGAAGUAGACGCAAUUAAACAUGAAGGAUUGUGAAGGCAAAAGAUGAACCAGCCAGCCUAGUCUCUGGAUGCAUAAGCUCCAAGUGUGGAGGAGACCCGGAGAGAAAAGCAGACUGUUCUCUGUGUUUACCUGUAAGCACAGGCCGCAACCUGCCAUGCUGUUUUUAAAUGCCCAAGAGCUGGUGACAAGAGGGUUUCCCUUUGCCAUCUGGACCUGAUUGCCUUAGAGUGAAAGUCGACAUUGCAAACCACAGUGACACGUGGAUAAAACUCACGUUGUUGGGGGGAGAAGAGCAAAACAUAUGCUUCACAAUAAAAACACUCAGUAUCCUAGGAAUAGGAGGGAACUUCCUCAACCAGAUAAAGGGCAUCUAUGAAAAACCCAGAGCUAACAUCACACUUAAUCGUGAAAGACUGAAAGCUUUCCCUCUAAAAUCAGAAACAAGAAAAGGAUGUCUACUACUGCCACUGCUAUUCAACAUUGUUCUGGAAAAUUCUAGGCAGAACAAGUAGGCAAGAGAAAAGAAGAGGUAUCCAGAUUGGAAAGGAAGAAAUAAAACUGUCUCUGUUUGACAGUUGUCAUAACCUUGUACAUAGAAGAUUAUGAAGAAGCUACCAAAAACUAUUUGAAUGACUAAACAAGUUUAGUAUGGUUGCAGGAUACAAGAUCAAUAUGCAAAAACCAGCUGUAGUUCUUCUAUAUGUUGAAAAGAAGAAAAUUUAGAACGAAAUUAAGAAAAAUUCAUUCACAAGAGCAUCAAAAAGGAUAAAAAAUAAGGCCAGGCAUGGUGGCUCAUGCCAGUUAAUCCCAGCACUAUGGGAGGCUGAGGAAGGAGGAUCACUCAAGCCCAGGAGUUUGAGACCACCUGAGCAACACGGCAAGACUCUAUCUCUACCAAAAAUUUUAAAAAAUUAGCCAGGUGUAGUGGCCAUGCCUGCAGUCCUAGUUACUCAGGAGGUUGAGGUGGGAGGAUCACUUGAACUCAGGAGAUUGAGGCUGCAGUGAGCUAUGAUCUGGCCACUGUACUCCAGCCUGGGUGUCAGAGAGAGAGACCCUGUCUCUAAAUGAAAAUAAAUAAAUACAUAAAAUUUUAAAAAAGAAUGAAAUACUUAGGAAUACAUUUAACCAAAGAAGUAUGAGGCUUUUUACAUUGCAAAACUAUAUAACAUUGUUGAAAGAAACUAAAGAAGACCUAAAUAAAUGGAAAGACAUCCCAUGUUUAUAGAUGGAAAAGUUUAAUAUUAAGAUAGCAAAACUUCUCAAAUUGAUCUACAGAUUCAAUGCCAUCCUUUCAAAAUACCAGCUAACUUUUUUGCAGAAGUUAACAAACCAAUCCUAAAAUUCAUAUGGAAAUUCAAGAGAAUCAGAGCAGUUAACCUUCAAAAAGAACAAAGUUGGAGGGUUCAUACUUCCUGAGUACUAAAACUUAGUACAAAGCUAUAGUAAUCAGAUACUAUGAAAUUGACAUAAGGACAGACAUAUAGAUCACUUGACUAGGCUUGACAGUCCAGAAAUAAACCUUCACAUUUCUGAUCAAUUGAUUUUCUACGAGGCAGCCAACACAAUUCUGUUUUAAAUAUGGUGGUAGGACAACGGAGUAGCUACAUUCAAAAGAAUGAAGUGAGACCCUUAACUCACACCAUAAACAAAAACUAAUUCAAAAUGGAUCAAAGACCUAAAUGCAAGCAUUAAAACUAUAAAACUCUUAGAAGAAAACAUAGGAGGAAAUCUUCAUGACCUUGGAUUAGUCAAUGGAUUCUAAGAUAUGAUACCCAAAGCAUAAGCAACAAAAGAAAAAAUAGAAAAAUUGGACUUUAUUUUUUUAAGAGAUGGGGUCUUGUUAUGUUGCCCAGGCUGGACUUGAAAUCCUAGGCUCAAGUGAUCCUCCUACCUCAGCCUCCUGAGUUGCUGGGACUACAAACAUGUACCGCCAUGCCCAGCUAAAUUGGACUUUAAAAUGGAAAACUUUUGUGCUUCAAAGACGUCAAAAAAGUGAAGACAACCCACAGAAUGAGAGAAAAUUUUCACAAAUUGUAUAUCUGAUAAGAGACUUGUGCCUAGAAUCUAUAAAGAAUGAUUACCACUCAAUAAUAAAAAGACAAAUAACCCCAUUAAAAACAGGCAAAGGAUCUGAAUAGACGUUUCUCCAAAGAAGAUAAAUAAAUGGCCGAUAAACACUUGAAAAGAUGCUCAACAUCAUUUGCCAUCAGGGAAAAGCAAAUCAAAACCAUGAUGAGAUGAUGAGAUACCACUUCACACCCACUAGGGUGGCUAUAAUAAAAAAGACAGAUCGUAAUAACUGUUGGCAAGGAGGUAGUGAAAUUCGAACCAUCAUCACACAUUGCUGGUGGGAAUGUAAAGUAGCACAGAGCUUUGAAAAACUGUUUGGCAGUUUCUCAAAAACUUAGAGUUACCAUAUGACUCAGCAACUUCCCUCGUAGGUAUAUAGAAGAGAAAUGAAAACAUAUGUCCACACAAAAACUUGUACAUGAAUGUUCAUAGCCGUAUUAUUCAUAAUAGCCAAAAGUGGAAAUCACCCAAAUGGUAAACUGAUGAGUGAAUAAAUAAAAUGUGCUUUAUACAUAUGAUGAAACAUUCUUUGUCAAUAAUGAAGAACUGAUCCCUGCCGCAACAUGGGGGAACUUAAAAGCAUGAUGUUAAGUGAAGGAAGUCAGAUUCAAAGGUCCAUGAUUCCAUUAUAAAUGGCAUUCCAUCUGUGGAAUUCCAUAUAUGGAACGUCUAGAAUAGGAACACUUCCUUUCUAUAGAGACAGAAAGGAAAUUAGGAGUUGCCAAGAGAGGAUGGGGAGACUGGUGGGUGAUGGCUGAGAAGGUGGCCGUGUUUCUUUUUGGGGUAACGAAAGUGUUCUGAAAUUGAUUGUAGUGAUGGCAGUACAACUCUGAAUUUACUGAAAGCCAUUGACUUGUACAUUUUAAAUUGGUGACUUGUACGGUGUACGAAUUACAUCUCAAUAAAGCUGGUUUUCUUUUCUUUGUUUCUUUAUUUUAAUAGACAGGGUCUCACUCUGUUGCCCAGGCCGGAGUGCAGUGGUGCGAUCAUAGCUCACUGCAGCCUUGAACUCUUGAGCUCAAGCAAUCCCCCCACCUCAGCCUCCCAAGUAGCUGAGACUAUAGGCAUUUGCCACCAUACCCAGCUAAUUUUGUUUAUUUUUUGUAGAGAUGAGGUCUUGCUAUGUUGCCCAGGCUGGUCUUGAACUCCUUGGCUCAAGUAAUCCUCUUGCCUUGGCCUUCCAAAUUGCUGGAAUUACAGGCAUGAGCCACCACACCCAGCUAAUAAAGCUCUUUAAAAAAAAAAAAGUUGCAUAUGGAUACAUACAACAUAUCAUUUAUAUGAAAAUAUUGAAACAUGCAAACAAUACUAUUGUUUAGAACACAUACAAGGGCAGCGAACGCAGAAAGACAUGCAUGUGGAUUAUAAGGGCACAAAUGGUUAGUGCAUGAGAGAGACACAGGCUGCUUCAACUAUAAUUCUAACGUUUCUUUUUUUUUUUUUGAGACAGAGUCUCACUCUGCUGCCCAGGCUGGAGUGCAGUGGCGUGAUCUCAGCUCACUGCAACCUCUGCCUCUGGUCAAGCGAUUCUUAUGCCUCAGCCUCCGGAGUAGCCAUGAUUACAGGCGCGUGCUACCACAACCAGCUAAUUUUUGUAUUUUUUUUUUUCUUUUGAGACGAGUUUUGCUCUUGUUGCCCAGGCUGGAGUGCAAUGACACAAUCUCGGCUCGCUGCAACCUCCGCCUCCCGGCUUCAAGUGGUUCUCCUGCCUCAGCCUCCCAAGUAGCUGGGAUUAUAGGCAUGCGCCACCACGCCCAGCUAAUUUUUCUGUAUUUAGUAGAGACAAGUUUUCAUCAUGUUGGUCAGGCUGGUCUCGAACUCUUGAUCUCAGGUGAUCCACCCGCUUCAGCCUCCUAAAGUGCUGGGAUUACAGGUGUGAGCCACCACACCCGGCUAAUUUUUGUAUUUUUAGCAGAGAUGCGGUUUCACCAUGUUGGCCAGGAUGGUCUCCAACUCCUGAUCUCAAGUGACCCACCCGCCUCAGCCUCUCAAAGUGCUGGGAUUACAGGCAUGAGCCACCACACCCAGCCGUAACAUUCAUUCUUAAGCUUGGCAGUGGAACAUGAUAUUAUCCCACAUACCUUUUCUGUUUGCUUGAAAUUCUUUGUGAAAUAAUUUCCCAGGCAUUUUCCAAUGCUGCAGAAACUGGACAUGUGUAUUUGAUGGAUGAAUUGGGGGACUGGCCUAAGGGGGCCCUGGACUGGAAAAGCUGGUCCCUUUCAGGUUCCCCACACUCAAUAAAACAUUUCCUGUAUUGAAUCCAGCAAUCUCUGGGACCAUCUCCGGAACAUGCUUUCCCAUAGUUGGUGUUCUGCAGAAAAUAGUACGGCCUUUGCAACCAUCCAGACAGCCCUGGUUUGAGUCCCCGCUCUGCCCUCAUUACCAGCAUGGCCUCUCAACAAUUACUAAAUACCUCUGGGCUUUACUUUCCCAUCUGCUAAAUGGGAAUCAUACCACCUGCUCCUUGAAACUAGUGAUGAUGGAAUGCAGAAGCCCUUGCAAGGUGCCUGGCUUCCCCUGCCUGCUGAGGACGAGGCUCUCACUCUCUGCUGAAUCUUUCUGGGUGAUGCAGGUUGUACUGGACCCUACAUUCCUUUGCACGGUGUGUGAUCGGCCAUCAAUCAGUACUCCCUGAGUAGAACUGACUUUAAGAGCCUCAACUUCCUUCCUCCCUUCCUUACUACUUUGAAAAGCCAAGGGAACCAAAGGCUUCUGAAGAGAGCUCCCUUCAUUACUUUAAAAAACAAAGAAAUGUAGAAAUAAGCUGGCUCUGUCAUUCUCCAUGGAUCGUUUUUGUGUUCUCAGCUGUUGUUCAUCAGUUCCUGGAGGCUCACAGGGCAGUGCCAGCCCCCAGGGGCCAAGGAAUGGGAUGAUGGUGUGUGAGGAUCUGGAUGUAGCCUUCCCACCUCCAGUCAUGCAGGCUCCUUCAGCCCUUCCUGGAGCACAGAGAGUUGGAUGCCUUGGCCCAGGCCCUUGGCAGUGAGAUUUAGUCCCUGCUGAUUGCAGCCCAGCCCCUGGGGGAGAACCGGGCCUCAGAAACUGAGACUGAGAUCCAGGUGGACAGAUGGGAGCUGGUUCUAUGCUGACCAGGGUAGAUGGAAAUGCUGACUGCCCAGAGGAGCUUCUGGAGAAAGCUGUCAUGGAGGCUUGGGGAGGAGGGGAGAGAGAGGAAGCUUCAAGAGUGUCUUUGUGGUUGCUGGUUGACCAGUAUAAACGGUAUUUACACAUUUAGAGUGGCAGACUCACCAGUACGUGAGAGAAUUGUCGAUGAUGCAGGCAACUUACAUGAAAUGUACCCCUCCAGCAUUCAACGCAGCAGAAUCACCUAGUAGAAGUUAUUCUCUUUCUAAUUUGUUUUCAGUUGUUUUAAUUUCAUCGAGUCUCAAGUUGGUGCUAGCCUAGGUCAUUAACACCUCCCGGACACUUGCUAACCUUGCCUUUUUUUUUUUUCCCGGACGGAGUCUUGCUCUGUCACCCAGGCUGGAGUGCAGUGGCAUCAUCUCGGCUCACUGCAACCUCCGCCUCCUGGAUUCAAGCGAUUCUCCUGCCUCAGCCUCCCAAGUAGCUGGGAUUACAGGCACCCCCAACUUUGGCCAAUUAAUUUUGGUAUUUUUAGUAGAGACAGGGUUUCACCAUGUUGGCCAGGCUGGUCUUGAACUCCUGACCUCAGGUGAUCCACCCAUCUCAGCCUCCCAAAGUACUGGGAUUACAGGUAUGAGCCACCAUGCCUGGCCUAAUCUUGCCUUUUAGCAACCAUGACAGCACCAGUCUUCAGGCUUACAGCGAGCGAGAGCAACCAGCUAUCUUUUAAUCAUAGUAUUGCUUUUGGUUGUAUUUAUUUUCUACAGACCAUGAGAGGGGCUUUUUGUUAUGGCUGGUUCUUUUUAGAGGAAAGACAAAUAAUGAAUCAGUAAUAAUUGAGUUGGAACAAGGAUACAGUGCCUCAUGGCAGAGGCCUGAAAAAGAGCCCAGAUUUCCAGCUCCUAUUCAGCGAAGUGGGUUCCCCAGGUGGCAGGCUGCAGAUCAAGCUUGGGGAAGGUUCUGGUCUGAGGUCAGUGGGUCCAGCUGGUCAGCAGAUGGCAACGAGGGAACUUUGGAUGAGAGUUGUUGUCGGAGCCCGCCGGCCUGGUUUUGCAGCCUGCUUGAAGCCCGUCUCUUCCCUGGGAUGACAGAAGCCAGUUCAUCAGUGUUCACCGUGGGACACGAGGCUGAGGAGAGUGGGUGGCUGCUGAAGUCACCUUUGCUUCUGGCGGCCAAACCUGAUUUUGCUCUGGGCGAUCAUUGUUCACUACUCUCAGAUCUGGGUUUGAGCAGACUGGACCCACCUCGGGCCAUCCGCGCUUGUCUUCGUUGCUUUGGGUACGGUGAUGGGUUCUAGAUGGGUAGUGAGAUGCAAAGAGGCUUUUUCUGGGAAUGCUGGGGCUGGAUCUUUCCCACUGGCUUUGAACCCAAGAAGGGGAGAUGCCAGAACCCCUGUAUCCCCUAUGAGGAGGGCGCUCACAGCAGAUAAUGGAGCCGAGAAACCCAAUCCUGAUGGUAUCGGUUCCAUCCUGGAUCCAGCUGUGCCCGAAGCUAGGCUCUACCCUUGGCCGCCUUUGGAGCUACCCACCAAGCCAAUAAAUUCCCCUUUCAUGUAAUCCAGUGAGGAUCAGUGUUUCGGUUGCUUGCAACCACAAGCGUCUUAACUGAUGAAAUGGCUCAUUGCAAAUCCUUGGCCACUGAGAGAGAAAGAACUCAAAGGGCAGGUACUGCGGAC
rnacentral:lncRNA from 1 species